GUACCUACGGGGGGCAGCAGUCGAGAAUCAUUCACAAUGGGGGAAACCCUGAUGGUGCGACGCCGCGUGGGGGAAUGAAGGUCUUCGGAUUGUAAACCCCUGUCAUGUGGGGGCAAAUUAAAAAGAUAGUCCACAAGAGGAAGAGACGGCUAACUCUGUGCCAGCAGCCGCGGUAAUACAGAGGUCUCAAGCGUUGUUCGGAAUUACUGGGCGUAAAGCGUGCGUAGGCUGUUUCGUAAGUCGUGUGUGAAAGGCGCGGGCUCAACCCGCGGACGGCACAUGAUACUGCGGGACUAGAGUAAUGG
rnacentral:rRNA from 1 species